rnacentral:lncRNA from 1 species
AACACAGGAGUGUUUGAAAUAUUUGGUAAUCAAGUUAUACCAAGUGCAGCUCAAGUUCUUACAUUAAUCAAGUGAGCAGAAUUUCUGUGCAGAAGGGGCAUCUUUGGGAAUUAAACUGUACUGCAUGAGAUCGAAUUAAUUUUCGAGCCAUACAUCAUUGGAAAGAUAUUUCUGUUAGCUUUCCAAUGAAUUUUACUAAUCUAAAUUUGGAGUUUUCUACAGUAAGUUAUGAUCAGUUAAGUGCAGACUAUUCAGUUUUGAGUCAAGAAGAAU